rnacentral:sRNA from 1 species
UUGGGCUACCGCAGCCUGUCCAUUGUGGAAGGCAAACGACAAUCUCGCUGAUUUCAGGAGCUUUAUUUAUGCGUA